GCAUUGGUGGUUCAGUGGUAGAAUUCUCACCUUCCAUGUGGGAGACCUGGGUUCAAUUCCCAGUCAAUACA
rnacentral:tRNA from 2 species